rnacentral:sRNA from 1 species
CUGAAGUUCAAGAUCAUGAUGGUGGGGUGGUUGCAUUUGCAGUGAGGACUCUCUUCCAGGAGCAUAGAAUGAUGUCAUGCAAGCGAUCUUCUCUAGCCCUACUUCCUAUGGGCUUUCUGCUUCCUGGCUGAGGAUGCCAUGAUUCUACAAACAAGAUGAAGAAAAACCAAGGCAUGGCUUCUCCCUGUAAACAUUUCUUCCCCGAGAGAGCAGACAAAAAGACUCUCAAGUUUACCACAAUCAUAGCCCUGUAGGUUGGCCGAGCACGGCUUCGGAUUCUUUCUCCAGAGGAGGGGAACUCUGGGUUCUUGGACAGCAGCAGUCUACACUGGCUGGACCAGAUGACCAAAAUGGCCUCUGUUGGAAUCGGUUGGAAGACCAGAUUGGCCGUUGGUCCCAAGCAAGUAGACUGCUACAGCGUCUGUGCUUUUCAAAUCAUGGCAAUUGAACUCCAAAUGCAAUCUUCCGAGAAAUGGAAGCUGAAGUAGAUUAUUAGUUCUGGCUGGUGUGUGACAAAUCACCCCACACAAGAGCCGUGUCAUAUCCCAGCUUCACAUGAACACAUCUUUAUUAAGAUCCGAUCCAUAUAUCAUAUAGUACACUCGUCUAAGGUGUGUGACUUGAUGUCGUUGUCUCGGUCACAGACUCGCUUUAAGUCCAGACUGCAGGGGUAGUUGCUUAUCUGUCAUCCUCCGUAAGAAUCUUGUUCCUUUUAGCUGUCACUCACCCUGAGCCCUAAACUCCUAUUCUGUUUUCAUCUCUAGGUUUUCCUUUUCAUACCAAAUGACUGGAAUCAAUCGAUAGGUGUUCUUUUGUGACUCAGAAUGAUAUCCUCAAGACCCGUCUCUGCUAUGGCAUGCCUUGUUUUCGUUAUUGAAGAGUGAUGCUGCUUUCAGGUUGCAUCACGAUUUACUAUCUAUUCAUCAACCGAUGGUUCUUCCUGUAGCUUCUUACUCGGAGAAAUUGUGAAUAAGGCAGCUGCGUGUCCCCAUGAGAAACAGAAGGUGUGCAAUCCACUUAGUUUUUACCUCGGGUUGCAACUGCAGGGUGCAAUGGCGGGUCUAUGCUAAGUAGUUCAAGGAUGUGCUACUCUGCUUUCCACAAGAACCUGUGUCUUUACCACGAGCAACGCAAGGGGAGUCUCACUCCCAUUCACGGUUUUCAGCCCACAAUAUUUUCUGUGGCGUUUCCACUAUAGUAUAUCUUUAUGUUUAUAAAUCAUAGUAUGCCUUUAUGAUUCUGGCCAUUGUCUUAAUAACAACUUAGGCAUUUUUGAUGCGUUUAUUGGUUGUUCAUGUGUCUUCUUUAGCAGGGUCCUUUGCUUAUUUUCUUCUUCCUUUCAAUGAACCAUUUAUAUAUUUGCUACUGAAGGCCAGCAUUGUCCUACAUGAUAUAAACGCAUGCCUUGUUACAAUCAAUGUAGGUAUGAUUUGCAGGAGGUCUCAUUUUUGUGGCUGACUUUUCACUCUCUCAGUUCUGUCCUUAGAAUUAAGAAGUUUCUAGUUUUCAUAAAUUACACAAAUCUCUUUUGAUUUUACUAACACUUGAACUUUUGAUACUGUAGCCAAAUAGAUGGGUGCCAUGUCAACUUCAUAAAUAUUUACCCUUAUGUUUACCAGGCUUUUAUAUCUUUAGCAUAUCUUAAUUGAAACGUCUGUUGUGAGUUAAAUUUCCUGUGUGUGGUAUGAGGAAGGGGAUCCAACUUCAUUCUGUGGCUAUCAGUUGUCCCAGCCCCAUUUGUUGGAAAGAACUUUUUAAGAGAAUCAUCUGAUUGAGUCUUAGCUAACCAGAUCAGUCUCCCUUUGGUUCAUGCAAAGACAACUUCCUGAGAACCCUGGAAAUCCUUUCGGUAUAGGAAGAAACAGGAUCACUGCAAUUCUGAAAACCCCAAGUCCUUUGUGACAGCAAGAAUGAGAGCAGGGCAAGGCACGUUCUGUCAAGCUUCCACUGAGGGGCUCUGUCAGCCAGGUGGAGCUCUCAGCGUCUUAGGCCUGAGCACCAAACCGGCACAGCAUCUUCUUUCUUCUUCCUGGCUGAGCAUCCACAGAGAUAACCUCAGUCCAAUGAAAGAGCCAAGGAUUCCACCUUUAGUAAAAGGCGUGCCCAGGACUUUAUACCAGUCUUUAACCUUCCACAAUCUAAGUUGCCAAAAAAGCAGCUUUAGGUAAAUUACAGCCUAGUGACCUUAAGAGUCUAAGCUCUCUCUGAAAACCACAAAGAUAACUUCUAAUAAAGGACAAUUGGGAAGAGAACGUGAGAGUUUUGCUAGCUUAUAGAUUGAGGAGGAACUGAAAUAUCAAUUCCUAGGGUGAAUGAUUGAUGA